UGGUUCUGGCAUCGAUGAAGAACGCAGCGAAAUGCGAUAAGUAAUGCGAAUUGCAAAAUCCGUGAGUCAUCGAAUCUUUGAACGCACAUUGCGCCCUUUGGUAUUCCGAAGGGCAUGCCUGUUCGAGCGUCAUUAUCACCACUCAAGCUUGGCUUGCUGUUGGCGGAAGGGGAGUCAUGGUUCGUCUAUGGUGCCGCUCCGCCCAAAGGUAACGACGGCGUGUGGACAACGGCUGUAUAUUGAGCUUCCGGGCACGUACAGUGUAGAUGUCGAUACGCCGGUCAACGUCCUCUGGGACACAUUAAUCAGGUUGACCUCGGAUCAGGUAGGGAUACCCGCUGA
rnacentral:misc_RNA from 1 species